rnacentral:rRNA from 1 species
UAUGUGAUCGUCUCUCGCAUAUCAAUAAGCGGAGGAAAAGAAACUAACAAGGAUUCCCCUAGUAACGGCGAGUGAAGCGGGGAGAGCUCAAAUUUGAAAUCUUAAAGGGUUUCCCUUUACGAAUUGUAGUUUAAAGAAGUGUUUUCUGUUGAGGUUUUGGUAAAAGUUCUUUGGAAUAGGACAUCAUAGAGGGUGAGAAUCCCGUAUUUGACCUUUACUUUCAACUUUGUGAUACACUUUCAAAGAGUCGGAUUGUUUGGGAAUGCAGUCCAAAAUGGGUGGUAAAUUUCAUCUAAAGCUAAAUAUUGGCGAGAGACCGAUAGCGAACAAGUACCGUGAGGGAAAGAUGAAAAGAACUUUGAAAAGAGAGUUAAACAGUACGUGAAAUUGUCAAAAGGGAAGCGUUUGACACCAGUGUUGUUUUUCUGAAAAUCAAUUAAAGAACUGUUUAUGCUAAGCUGUUUAGACUUUAUCAGCUAACUGUUUAGUUUUGAGCUUUUCUUUAAUGCACUUUUCAGUUAACAAGUCAACAUCUAAUUUCUUUUGCUGUAAAAAAGCUUGAGGAAGGUGGCUUGAGAUUCGUCUUAAGUGUUUAUAGCCUCUUGCCUAUGCAGUCGGAGAGAUUGAGGUCUGCAGCGUAGAUCCUUCGGGGCUAAAUGCAUUUGUGCUAAGUUAUAGCAUUUUAUAGACAACUUGUUGACCAUGAUUUGUCUUGUAGCUUACUCGCUUAUGUUAUUUUACCUACGCUUAGGAUGUUGAGUAGCGACAUACGCA